UGACCUGCGUAGAAGAGAUACCUCUGCCACACUGCAGGAAAACAGAGAGGGCCAUUUUCUGUGGCAACGCAUCAGCUGUUUGGAUUAAUUAGAGCCAUAACCCUGCAUUGACUUCAAGAGACAGGGGUUAGAGGAAGGUUUCUUUGGAAAGGCUGGAUACAAUAGGACAUGACUGUGGCUUAGUAAGGCCUUCUUUUCCAUCUGGAAACUAUUCUAUGCUCCAUAUCGUGGAACAAGACUUCUUCUCGUCUACGAACAAAGAGAGAUCCAUCCACCCCAGCUUCCUGAUUCUUCUGAGCUCACUCUGCAGCAUGAAUGGGAGUUUGAAGGAAGCUGCCCCAUUAGGCCCCCACUGUUAAUCCUUAGAUGUUGAUCAGGUUGGCCUAGCUGUCCAUCCAGCCAUCCAUCUAGGCACAAUUUGCAGCAAAGAAGGAACAUGGAGGUGGGGAAAGGGAGAGAAAAGUUGGCCUUCCAAGCCACCUCCUAACACAGCCUUACAAGGCAGAAACCUUGACAAUGUUGCUGCUAGCAGUGGUAAUGUUCACAGAGCGGCUGGGGCUGGAGGGCGGAGGCCUGCUUUCGGCUUCUGGAGUCAGAGCCGGUGGUGUGGGGAUGCUGAUGAUUGCUGUUGUGAUUUGGGAGGCUUUGCAGUUCGGUCUCAGCCCAUCAUCUGAUUUCAUAUUUAGGCUGGAACGACUAGAAGACAAAAUACAGUGGUUUGUUUUUUUUAAAAAAGUCCUUCAUAAUGAUCUUCCCAUCAGUACGAAAAUCUCAAUACUCACAUCUCAUUCAAACAUACCUUACAACUUUCAUUGUAAUAAUAAAAUCUUGGGCGGCACUUUAACUUUAGAGAUCUUGUUAUUCAGAAAUAAACAAAUUUCUUCCACAAUGCUCCAA